GAAGGGCUAAUGGCCGCUCCAGCGGGAAAGUUCCCUACGGGUCUCGCUGUAUAGCUCAGGCUGUCCUCGACCUCACUGUGCAGGCCAGGCUUGUAUGGAAUUCAGGGCGAUCUUCCUGCCUCAGUCUCCCUAGUGCUGGAAUUAUAGGCCUUCAUUUCCAUAAGCUACUCAUUUACAAGAACUGUACUUCUAACUUCACAUUCGUGCUUGAAUCUGAACAGCCUUUGGAAAGUGCAAGACUUGAACUACCCUUGAAGUCUACAGGUUUCUAUUUCACUCAUUGCUAUAAUUGCGAGUAUUGCAAUGACGGAGGACUUGACGAUGUAGAAAUAGACUUGAGACAUCCUGUAAUUGAAGAGAAGCUACAAGAUGGGACUGUAUGUUUUAUGGUGCCAGAGCUUUGCCUCUGUAAUAGCCAGCAAUACACUGCAUGAGAACCACUUUUUGUGGGAGUCUGUUGGUCUUCCCCUUUUCCUCAGUUCAGUUUUGUUUCCUCUUGUCCCCUUGAGACAUCACUGAG
ensembl:lncRNA